rnacentral:rRNA from 1 species
UACGUAGGGUGCAGGCGUUAAUCGGAAUUACUGGGCGUAAAGCGUGCGCAGGCGGUCUCUUAAGACAGGUGUGAAAUCCCCGGGCUUAACCUGGGAACUGCGGUUGAAACUAGUCGACUAGAAUCUGGCAGAGGGGGGUGGAAUUCCACGUGUAGCAGUGAAAUGCGUAGAGAUGUGGAGGAAUACCGAUGGCGAAGGCAGCCUCCUGGGCCAACACUGACGCUCAUGCACGAAAGCGUGGGGAGCAAACAGG